rnacentral:rRNA from 1 species
GAUGAACGCUAGCUACAGGCUUAACACAUGCAAGUCGAGGGGCAUCACAGUGUAGCAAUACACGGGUGGCGACCGGCGCACGGGUGCGUAACACGUAUCCAAUCUGCCCGUUACUCGGGGAUAGCCUUCUGAAAGGAAGAUUAAUACCCGAUGGCAUGUAUUUCCGGCAUCGGAGAUACAUUAAAGAUUUAUUGGUAACGGAUGAGGAUGCGUACGAUUAGCUAGUUGGCGGGGUAACGGCCCACCAAGGCUACGAUCGUUAGGGGUUCUGAGAGGAAGGUCCCCCACACUGGACCUGAGACACGGUCCAGACUCCUACGGGAGGCAGCAGUGAGGAAUAUUGCACAAUGGGCGAAAGCCUGAUGCAGCAACGCCGCGUGAGUGAUGAAGGCCUUCGGGUUGUAAAGCUCUGUCUUUUGGGACGAUAAUGACGGUACCAAAGGAGGAAGCCACGGCUAACUACGUGCCAGCAGCCGCGGUAAGAC